GACCUUAAUGAUGAUCCCAUAAGAAUAAAAGUAAUCAGACUCUACAUCAACAAACUUGGUUCUUACGUUCCGAGCUCAAAAGCAACUUUGUUUUUGUCGGAGGCUUUGUUGUUCCAACUCAAUACCAUUUCUGGAAAAAAAAACUAAAACUAAGGAAGAUCUGAUAAAUAGUUUCUUUUUCAUGAAAAGAAAUAGCAUGCGUGUCAACUUAUCUCCAAAAGUAAUAAUAACAUUUAAGUGUUACAUAAGCCAUUUCUUAAUAGGUAGUAACAGUGAUUACAUAUUUCAAAUAACUAACCUGUAAUUGUUCAGUGAAAGCCAGCCGUGAGCGUUGAUUUACAAAUUAUAAAUUAGUAUCAAAAUUGGAAGUUAUUAAAAGAUAAAAGUUUAAAAAAUGAGACUAAAACACCUUAAUGUGAAGAAGUCCAUCAAACUGAAAACAUUUCAUCACAAUAUCUGCCCGAAUGUUCAAAGGCUAUGGAUUCAUUAUCUAAUGCUCAAAAAAGUAUAUAGUAGUCACUACAGAAAAAUUUAAGUAUGUCAAUCGAUAAAAUGAUGAAAAUACAAACUAUUAUCAAGCGUUAUAGGAGUAUAACAGAUCCAAGGAAACAAUUAAUCAUACCACACAAUUAGCCUGCAUGAACCAUCAUUAAAUCAAUUUAAAACUCCUUCCAUCUAACCUGAAUUACGCAGCCAAUGAAUCAGAAUUACAAAAAUUAAACAACUUUUAUAUAAUUCACUGUCAGUGACUUCAGUUGAUAUGUUCAUUCAACCACCACAUCGCUUUCUUUAUUGAUCUGUAAUGUAACAUCCCGAAAUAUCAAGAGUAGAAUGGAAGGGCUAAAAGGGUAAAUUGGGAAAUAGUGACUCGGCGAGUAANNNNNNNAAAUGGUAAAGUGAAAGAGUGACUCGGCGAGUAGAGUCGCAAUUUGGUCGCGUGUUGAGUAGCCGACUCGGCGAGUCAAUGAGGUGGACUCGGCGAGUAGGCGCUGAGUGGAGAAAACCCUAAUUCUCGGGGUUGAGCCCUAUAUAAAGAACAUUAUGUUUUCCUCCCAGCCUCUUUAUCACCCCUUGAGUCCCAGAAACCCUAAAAUCGUGGAGAAGCACCAUUGUUGAGCAAAUUAGAGCUUGGAGAGGUGGUUGUUGAAGAGAUUCUAAAGAAGAAGAGGCUUGGAUCAAAGGGCUUUGCAAGGAUUCAGGAUAAUCUUCUCUUGGAGCUUCCUUUUGAGGUAUCUUUCCAUUGUUUGAGCUGUUAUUGUCUAGAUUCUUCAUUUUGGGGGUGUUGAGAUCAUAUCUUUUGGUGUUUUGGAGUUUAGAGGUUAGAUAUGAGGUUGCUACCUCAGAUCUGGAAUGGAGAAGUGUUGGAAUGCAUGAAAGUCCCUAUGUUGAGUGUUGGAUAAAGCUAUCAUGUCCCAAACCGUAGCGCUAAUGUGCACAAUGCAUAGAUCUCUUUGGAUUCACGUAAAGUUUGCCACUUUACGUGAUGGAUGAGUUGUAGGAGGCUAGAUCUAUGUUUUGGAGCAAUUGCAUGGCCUGGAAUGCUUCUGAAUGGAUUCAGACCGGUGGUACUCGGCGAGUCACAUGGGUGUACUCGACGAGUUGCUUGAAGAUGAGCUGGAACUCGACGAGUUGGAAGAACAACUCGGCGAGUUGGAUGAAGAUGGCCUGGAACUCGGCGAGUUGUAUGAACAACUCGGCGAGUAGGUUGAAGAUAGCCUUAGACUCGGCGAGUCUGUUCUUGGGCUCGGCGAGUCUUGUCGAAGAGUCCCAAUAUUUUCUGGUCGAGUCGAGAAUCGGUGAGUCAAGGGAUGACUCGGUGAGUUGUGUGCGAGUGGACUCAGAGUUGUUGAACUCGACGAGUCUCGGGGUGACUCGGCGAGUUAGGUCGCGGAUUGAGGGAAGUUCUGAGUAUGGGGACUCGGCGAGUCAUCGGGUUGACUCGGCGAGUAGAGUCAGUCAGGGGUUGACUUUGACCUUGUCUUUGACCAAGGGUUGACCAGUGGUUUCCAGGGGCAUUUUGGUAAUUGUUGAUUAUUGUUUUGAGUUCAGUGCAUUGGUGGUUGUCCAGUGGUGGAGAUCGUAUCAGUGAUCGGAGCAGCUUGGGUUAUCUGUUCAGUCGGCAGUUUCGAGGUGAGUUAUCCUCACUAUAUCAACAGGGUCUAAGGCACCAAGGCCGGCCCUUAUCGGAUUGAGAUCCGGGUAGUUGUUGUUAUGUUGUUGCUAUGAUAUGUUUGCAUCCUGAGAGCUAGGAUGGUAUAUGUUAGAGACCUGAUUGAGAUCGGUAUCCUGAGAGAUAGGGAGAUGCUAUGCUAGUGACCUGUUAGGUCGGUAUCCUGGUUAGGAUGAUGAUAUGUUAUGUGAUCUGUUUGAUCUGCUUGUUGACUGUGAAUUGCUAUAUGAUUGUAUGUAUAUGUGCACAUGGUUGUUUGGACUGGAGUUGGGUUGAGGGGGGUCCUGCUGUGUGCUGUAGGCCCAGAUACCCCGGGCGGACCAGUUGUCCCGNAAAGGGCGGACCAGACGUGCCGAAGGCUCGGAGAGUGGACCAGAUAGACUGAAGGCCCGGUGCGGGCGGACCAGUCAUACUGUAGACUCAGAGAGUGGACCAGGUGGAUUGAAGGCCCGGGAGUGGGCGGACCAAUCACACUAUAGACUCGAUGUAUGUGGAUAGACUCAGAGGGUGGACCAGGUGGACUGUAGGCUGGUGCGGCGGGCCAGUCACACAGUAGACCCGAAGUGCAUGGUUGUUCUGUGAUCGGAUAUGUUAUGGCAUGUUAUGCGUGUAUGGUAUUUGUGGUUGGUAUUUUGGGGAUAUCUCACUAAGCUUUUGGGCUUACAGUUGUGAUUUCAUGUUUUUCAGGUUCUUCAGGAGACUGUGGCAAGGCGAAGGCGUGAUCGUACCGCUUCUCAUGAUUUUGUAGUAUUGUGAUUCUGGGAGCACGUUAAAUGUUUUGUAUUGAAAACCUUUUUGUAAAGAUUUAAUGGAAUCGAGAUGUUUUUGAAAAAAUUAAAAUUGGUUGUAUUUUUCGGUCGUUACAUGUAACAUGUAAAAGCUAAAGAUUAAACUUAUAUUGAAGUCCAACAUUGAAAGAUCUUUCAUUCUUGGUCCUUAUUUUAAGGUU
rnacentral:lncRNA from 1 species